rnacentral:hammerhead_ribozyme from 1 species
AUCUAGCUGAUGAGUCCCAAAUAGGACGAAAUGCGCAUCCUGGAU